rnacentral:rRNA from 1 species
AACGAACGCUGGCGGCAUGCCUAACACAUGCAAGUCGAACGAGACCUUCGGGUCUAGUGGCGCACGGGUGCGUAACGCGUGGGAACCUGCCCUUAGGUUCGGAAUAACUCCCCGAAAGGGGUGCUAAUACCGGAUAAUGUCUUCGGACCAAAGAUUUAUCGCCUUUGGAUGGGCCCGCGUUGGAUUAGCUAGUUGGUAGGGUAAAAGCCUACCAAGGCGACGAUCCAUAGCUGGUCUGAGAGGAUGAUCAGCUACACUGGGACUGAGACACGGCCCAGACUCCUACGGGAGGCAGCAGUGGGGAAUAUUGGACAAUGGGCGAAAGCCUGAUCCAGCAAUGUCGCGUGAGUGAUGAAGGCCUUAGGGUUGUAAAGCUCUUUUACCCGGGAUGAUAAUGACAGUACCGGGAGAAUAAGCGCCGGCUAACUCCGUG